rnacentral:sRNA from 1 species
CUGUAAUAAGUCUCGUGGUGGCUGGAAUGUUCUUUUCCACCCUUUGACUUUGAGCUCAGUCAUGUGACUUGAAUUGGCCAAUUAGUGGUUAUGAUGUAAGUUAGAGGCUUAAAAAAUAUUUGCAUGAUUGGACCUUCCUUCUUGGACUCUGGUGCCAUGAGAAGAAGAUACCUUGGAAACUUAAUGCCCACUUAGCCUGGACCCUUGAAUGAAUAUACCCAGAGCCACACAGAGCCCACCCCAGGAACUUGCAGCAGAGUUUUCCAGCUGAGCCCAGCCUUUAUCAGCAAUGCACAGUCCUUUCAUGACGCUGGUCAUCAUCUUGCUGCAUGUGUUCUGGGGCAUUGUAUUUUUUGAUGGCUGUGAGAAGAAAAAGUGGGGCAUCCUCCUUAUCGUUCUCCUGACCCACCUGCUGGUGUCAGCCCAGACCUUCAUAAGUUCUUAUUAUGGAAUAAACCUGGCGUCAGCAUUUAUAAUCCUGGUGCUCAUGGGCACCUGGGCAUUCUUAGCUGCGGGAGGCAGCUGCCGAAGCCUGAAACUCUGCCUACUCUGCCAAGACAAGGACUUUCUUCUUUACAACCAGCGCUCCAGAUAACCUCGGGGAACCAGCACUUCCCAGACCGCAGACUACAUCUUUAGAGGAAGCACAACUGUGCCUUUUUCUGAAAAUCCCUUUUUCUGGUGGAAUUGAGAAAGAAAUAAAACUAUCCAGAUAUGC